ACACACCACACAUUCGUAUAUAAAUAUGCAAUUUUGAAAAUUCAUGUAAUAUUGUAGAAUAUUAACAUUGGUGUUCGUUUUGUUAAAUAUUCAAAUAUUAUCCUUGAUAUAAAAUAAUGCAAACAUUUAGACAUAUACAAAAAAAAUAAUUUAAAAAAAAUAUAAAUGUAUUUGGUUGAUUGGACUCUAAAUUCAUCCAGUUAAAAAAAUAACGUGAAAAUAAAUGCACUGGUUGCUGACGCUAAUAAUCGUAAGAAUAAUAUUAUAGGUAAUUAAGAAAAUAAUCAGUCAUUUACGUUCAUUUCAAAUCCUACAAAUUUUAAAUACGAAUAAAGAUUAUUGAGAAUAAAGAUUAUAAAGAAAUACGAAUAAAUUACGUUGGUAGUAUGAAAAGGAUUAACGUUUGUACGAUCCGUAAAGAUCGUAGGUUUUUGCAUAUGUUCACAAAAAUGUGCGCCUACAUCAUUUACAAUUAGAGAAUAUCGAAGCGAUAACAAUCAUGCCUCUAGUUGGUUAGAGAGAGUGCAUCGAAAUGUUGUUAUUCGCGCCUCCCCGCUCUUUAAGCCGUGUCUAAGGAUGCCCUACUGGGCAAUUAGCAAAGAUACUCGUCUUAUUCUUCCACUGGACGCCCGCGAUUAAACAUCUUAUUGUCAGGCAAUAUGGAAAAUUGUUUGUAUAUUGUUAAACAUUUUAAACAUUUGGUAAUGAUUUACGAUUUUAAAAGGCCUAAUUACAAUCCAUUACCGCUAUAUAAUUUUAUGCGAUUCGUAAAUGUAUAUAGCUAACGUUUACAAAACCUCUGUUGCGAACGUCGCAACUGCGAGAAGGAGUCGUAUAGUAUUAGUUUUUCGAUAAUAUGUUGGAUCAUGCGAUUCGUAUUCGAAGAUUUAGAAAGGACCCUCUAGCGUCUUCUGGAAGACAUAACUGUCCAAAAAAUCUAUAAAUUAUUCGAGAGGUAUCUGUAGAACGAACCCAUCGACCAGCAUACCUCUCAAGUUGAGGUCUGCUUGCUGAGCGACACAUGAGAAAACCAAGAGAAAACUAAGUCCUUCCCGCUGAAUAGUUUCCAUUGCCAGAUUCUCUAAAAAACGUUAACUUUCUUCAUCGAUGGACUAUGCGGAAAGACUUGCUACUAUUGGACAAUCCAAUUGGGGAAGGGAUGAGGAUCAUCGGAUCCCUACAAAAACCCUUGAAACAAUAGCACAGAGAGACAUUACAAGAAAGACUUUCUAACACGAACAUUCAACGAGAACUUCCUCAAGAAGAACGCAUCGGCCCCAGACGAUGCUGCAGAAAUUCGAGAACGAUCACGCGAGCAUCGCAGCAACACAUCACGAAGCAACGAAAUCAUCAAGCAGCUCAUCGUAGGAGCAUCGUUCGAUACAUCACUACUCAACAACGAUCGAUAUCACAUUCUAUCGGCAUAUUCACGAUAAAUAAAUAAUGUUGUACCGAUCAAGGCAUCGGUACCUCAACAACCUUAUUAAGUUACCACAAAAAAAAAAGAGAGAAUCAGUAGAAUUGACGAGAAAAGCUAUAUAAACAGGAAUAAUAAAACCAAUUAUAUCACGAAAAAUUAUAAUUCAGGAAGCAACAGAAGAAAGAAAAAUUGAGGCUUGUGAACGUUACUGAAAGGUUUUGGUCAACUUGCAAGAAGAAAAACAAUUCUCUAACUUCAUUCCUCAACUUUUCUUUCAUAGCGAUAAAUGCUACCUCGUUAUCGACGGUUUCAAUAUCUUUGGAAAAGUACUGAUCGAAUGGAUGAUCGAACAAGGAGCUAGAAAAUUAAUCAUUGUUUCUAAUAUAUCAAAACAAGGUAACGAAAACUUGGUUCUUAAAUGGCGCGAAUAUGGAGCAACGUUCAUUGUUCGACAAGAGGUUGAUUUAAGCAAAGCCAUAAACUUUGACAAAAUAUUUAAAGAUGCUUUAACUAUAGGUCAACUCGAUGGUUUCUUCGAUUUACAGAGAACGAAGAUGGAUUUGUCAAUUUCUUCGUUAAAGUAUUUUAAAUGUACUGAAAUACUGUCAAUAAAUAUAGCAAAAAGCACUGUCCAUUA
rnacentral:lncRNA from 1 species